AGAUGCUCGUUUGUGAACCCCCAAAUGGUGGCAGCUAGAGAGUAUUUGGAAAUUCAUGAGUUUCAGUUUCUUGCUCUCAUGGCAAUAGGUAUCGUUACCAUGCUUUUCGGUGUUAUUCGAUACAACUCUGCUAAACGGUCAGUCAGCCAACGGUUAAUCCUCCCUCCUUACAACAUGUAGUACAACACAUAGUACAACAUGUAGUACAACACUACAACAUAUAGACUUCAAUGUUGAACUUAUAUUGUAUCCCCAAUGUCCUGUAAUAUUAUGUUAUCGCUUUUUUUGGUGGAUUUUUUGUUCAAUUUGUCGCUCUGCGUGAAGACUGUCCAUCUUCUUUGCUUGUUAUGAGUUUACCAUUAUUAUUCUCUCUUGUGAUAAGGAACCAUUCACAUAUUACGUCAGAUUUUUUGCCCUUUUCAGACCCCUUUUGACAGAAAUUUACCGUCAAUGCAUUUCGAGACCCCUCUCCAGCUCCCCGAAUACUGAGGUAAUAUGUGAUCCCUCCCUCCCUAAGUAGUUUAACAAGUAGAAACUGGACAAGAGCUAGAGUAUAAUAAUAUUGUCAAUAUCACCUGCAUGACCAGAUAACUACAUGAUUUAUCAUCUGCUUGUAAUUUAUUUUGGGCGAAAAGAACUAUUAAUUGCAGAUUUAAUUACCACUACUAUGAUUUGUUGAUUGAUCGCCAGUUUCAGGACGGAUCGUUUGUUAAAAAAGUUUUAGUAAAAUAGUCAUUUAAUAUUAUCAAUUAUUUGUCUCAUAUGUAUAAUAUUAAAAUAAAUAUUUCAGUAUCAUCAUUUAAAAUGUUCUGUACCUAAAAAAUGUUAUGCUACAUUCCUUUUUUUACUUGCAAGUCUCCAACGGCGUUGUUGGAUGUAACCUAGUUUUUACGAAAAUUGCUAAAAUCGAA